rnacentral:rRNA from 1 species
AUUGAACGCUGGCGGCAGGCCUAACACAUGCAAGUCGAACGAGUGGCGGACGGGUGAGUAAUGUCUGGGAAACUGCCCGAUGGAGGGGGAUAACUACUGGAAACGGUAACUAAUACCGCAUACCAUCGGAUGUGCCCAGAUGGGAUUAGCUAGUCGGUGGGGUAACGUCUCACCUAGGCGACGAUCCCUAGCUGGUCUGAGAGGAUGACCAGCCACACUGGAACUGAGACACGGUCCAGACUCCAACGGGAGGCAGCGUGGGGGAAUAUUGCACAAUGGGCGCAAGCCUGAUGCAGUCAUGGCGCGUGUAUGAAGAAGGCCUUCGGGUUGUAAAGUACUUUCAGCGAGGAGGCGUUACUCGCAGAAGAAGCACCGGCUAACUCCGGGCCAGCAGCCGCGGUAAUAC